rnacentral:lncRNA from 1 species
CCGGCCGGGGUUCUUCAUGCUGGACGGCUCCUGCACCAGGUGAGACACCUGGGGGGACAGGUGUGGGGACAGGUGUGACACCUGCCGGCCGGGGUUCUUCAUGCUGGACGGCUCCUGCACCAGGUGAGACACCUGGGACACACCUGGGGGGCACCUGGGACAGGUGUGGGGACAGGUGAGACAGCCGGGGGGACAGGUGAGACACCUGGGACAGGUGUGGGGACAGGUGAGACACCUGUGGGGACAGGUGAGACACCUGGGGGGACAGGUGAGACAGCCGGGGGGACAGGUGAGACACCUGGGACAGGUGUGGGGACAGGUGUGACACCUGCCGGCCGGGGUUCUUCAUGCUGGACGGCUCCUGCACCAGGUGAGACACCUGGGGGGACAGGUGAGACACCUGGGACACACCUGGGGGGCACCUGGGACAGGUGUGGGGACAGGUGAGACAGCCGGGGGGACAGGUGAGACACCUGGGACAGGUGUGGGGACAGGUGAGACACCUGU